ensembl:lncRNA
AUUAUGCUACAGGAUUGAAAUUGUCGAUUUGUGUUGGGCUGCUCCGCUGGGAACAGCCUUCCCUCUUUCUGCAUAUCUAUCAUUUCAAGAAAAAGAAAAGAGGCAAACGUAUGGGGGAAGGAAAUCAGUCAACUACUAUUUUUAACUGCCCCAUAAAUCUGUUUUUAAAUUCCCUUCCAUUUAAAAUACCCUGGUGAAGCGUGCCUUCAUACAGCCUGUUAAGUACCACAAUCCAUGCAUGGCGCUACAUUUAUCCUAACAGUGUAAUUGGUCCAGCUCCCUCGGCUGGUGGCUCAGUUACUGGUCCUCCCCCAGGCCUGCAACCAGGAGAAAUCUCAAAUCACCCAAGGAUCCCACGCACAAAGACCCUGCACAGAGGCAACAUGAGAGAGAAAGAGAAAGACAGAAUUGUUGAGGUUUGUGUCUUCAUUGUGCACGUGCCGGGGGUUAAUGACACAGGAGCCUGCUUGUGUGAGAAGGAGGCGAUUUUCUCAGCUCCUUCAGAAGAGAGGGAAAAACGGUUCAGUCAAAACUCAAACCAACUUUGAAGUUGUCUGAUUUGGAGAGUCAUCAUUCUUGGUUAUUGUAGAAGCCAUUGAUAAAGAACAGGCAGUGACUGGGAUGAAUGCUGGUCAAAGAAUAUAAUGUCCUUUCCCCCAAACUGAUGCAAUAGUGAUUUUAAUAUUGCUCUGUAUAAUGUAAAAGAUGUUACAUGCCUUUGCUGUGCUGAUGGGGCUUCUUCAUGACUACAUCAAUUAUCCUAAAGAGAUCAUGAAAAUUGACAGUGAUGCAGGACCUGUAUAUUUAUGGACUAUGAAACAAACUGUAAGUGUAUAGUUUGUAAAAACAAAAUAUUAAAUGAUUGUUCUGUUUAGUAGAAAUGGAGUUUACACUCUGUCAUUAAUUCACAUGCUCACAUUCUUUCACACAUAUGUUUCUAAUAAAUGUUAUACAAUCAGUCUUAAUGUUGUGGUU